AGAAUUGUCCUCACUUCUCAAGCUGAAAAGUGAGAUGUUGCUUCUCUGGUUUGCUGUAAUUCUGUAUAGCAAGGAAAAAAUAAGUGUUUGGCUGAGGCCAGCAUUGCUCUGAGAAGGGAUUUUUAGUGAAAAGGAUUUGCAGAGAGAGCUGUGGCAGAAAAGAUGUCUUUGUUUUAGUACUUAGUGAAGACAGGGCAGCUAUUUGCAGUUUGUUUUUCUAGUUGUAGACUUUUUUAAAGAACCUGAUAUGUCCUCUCUUUUUGCAUCAGACAACUCUGAACUUCGCAUCUUCAAGGGCUGGCAUAACCAGAUGGCUCAAGUUACAGUGGAUGAGUUGCAGAUGUUGAUGGGAGUUAAGAUACCAUAGGAUGUUAUGCACAAAUGGAAUUGCUAAAAGGAGAAUGAAGAAACUCUCUGUGCCAACCUGAGCACGUGGCCUGUGCCAGAUGUCCCCUCAAGAUGACAGGACGUCCAUUAAGAUGCCACCAUCUAGAGUUAGGGUUGGCCUUUGC
rnacentral:lncRNA from 1 species